CAUCAGCCGUCUGUUGUCUCGUCGGCCUCUUGCUUCGCUGCCACGAACCUCAGCUAGCUCACACCACAUGGGUCUCGAGGCCGAGGUGCUGCCGGUGUGCCGGUACCAGAGGCUGCGCGCCGAGCAAGGCGAGGAGAUCAGGUCGGCGGCCGCUUCGGCUACCAGGUGGACGAGCGCGAGGCGGCCGCUGCGGCUGUGGAGGAGGGCGGGCAAGAAGGU
rnacentral:lncRNA from 1 species